rnacentral:rRNA from 1 species
UACGAAGGGUGCAAGCGUUACUCGGAGUUACUGGGCGUAAAGCGUGCGUAGGUGGUGAGUUAAGUCUGAUGUGAAAUCCCCGGGCUCAACCUGGGAAUGGCAUUGGAUACUGGCUCGCUAGAGUGCGGUAGAGGGUGGUGGAAUUCCCGGUGUAGCAGUGAAAUGCGUAGAGAUCGGGAGGAACAUCUGUGGCGAAGGCGGCCACCUGGACCAACACUGACACUGAGGCACGAAAGCGUGGGGAGCAAACAGG